AAGACAUUAGUAGAACGCGACAAAUACACCGCCUUAUCGAGGCGAAACUGCGGGUUUGAAUCCCGCGUGUCUUA
rnacentral:tRNA from 1 species